UACGUAGGGUGCGAGCGUUGUCCGGAAUUAUUGGGCGUAAAGAGCGUGUAGGCGGUUCGGUAAGUCUGCCGUGAAAACCUGGGGCUCAACCCCGGGCGUGCGGUGGAUACUGCCGGGCUAGAGGAUGGUAGAGGCGAGUGGAAUUCCCGGUGUAGCGGUGAAAUGCGCAGAUAUCAGGAGGAACACCUAUUGCGAAGGCAGCUCGCUGGGACGUUACUGACGCUGAGACGCGAAAGCGUGGGGAGCAAACAGG
rnacentral:rRNA from 1 species